GAUGAAGAACGUAGCGAAAUGCGAUACUUGGUGUGAAUUGCAGAAUCCCGUGAACCAUCGAGUCUUUGAACGCAAGUUGCGCCCGAAGCCAUUAGGCCGAGGGCACGCCUGCCUGGGCGUCACACAUCGUUGCCCCCCCAUCUACUCCUUCGGGAUUGCGGGGGGCGGAUGAUGGCCUCCCGUGCGCCUCGUCGCGCGGUUGGCAUAAAUGCCAAGUCCUCGGCGACGCACGCCACGACAAUCGGUGGUUGCGAAACCUCGGUUGCCCGUCGUGUGCGGUCGUCGCGCAUCGAGGGCUAGAAAAAAUUGCCGGGCUCCGGCUCGGCUUUCAACGCGACCCCAGGUCAGGCGGGGUUACCCGCUGAAUUUAAGCAUAUCAAUAAGCGGAGGA
rnacentral:misc_RNA from 1 species